rnacentral:rRNA from 1 species
GAUGAACGCUAGCAGAACGCCUAACACAUGCAAGUCGAACGGACUUGUUGACUUCGGUUAACAAGUUAGUGGCAAACGGGCGAGUAACACGUGCUUAAUCUGCCCUGGAGAGGGGAACAACUACGGAGACGUAGCUAAAUCCCCAUACGCUCAUGAGAAUGAGAAUAUCAUGAGGAAACAAUUUAUUGCUCUGGGAGGAGGGCGCGGCCUAUCAGGUUGUUGGUGAGGUAAUGGCUCACCAAGCCUAUGACGGGUAGCCGGUCUGAGAGGAUGUCCGGCCGCAAUGGAACUGAGACACGGUCCAUACCCCUACGGGGGGCAGCAGUGGGGAAUCUUGGUCAAUGGGCGAAAGCCUGAACCAGCGAUUCUGCGUGAAGGAUGAAGCCUCGCGGGGUGUAAACUUCUUUUUGGGGGAAGACGAAUGACGGUACCCACGAAUAAGGGACGGCUAACUACGUG